rnacentral:rRNA from 1 species
CACUAUCGUUAACUGAAUACAUAGGUUAACGAGGCGAACCGGGGGAACUGAAACAUCUAAGUACCCCGAGGAAAAGAAAUCAACCGAGAUUCCCCCAGUAGCGGCGAGCGAACGGGGAGCAGCCCAGAGUCUGAAUCAGCUUGUGUGUUAGUGGAACGGUCUGGAAAGUCCGACGGUACAGGGUGAUAGUCCCGUACACCAAAAUGCACAGGCUGUGAACUCGAAGAGUAGGGCGGGACACGUGGUAUCCUGUCUGAAUAUGGGGGGACCAUCCUCCAAGGCUAAAUACUCCUGACUGACCGAUAGUGAACCAGUACCGUGAGGGAAAGGCGAAAAGAACCCCGGCGAGGGGAGUGAAAAAGAACCUGAAACCGUGUACGUACAAGCAGUGGGAGCACCUUCGGGUGUGACUGCGUACCUUUUGUAUAAUGGGUCAGCGACUUAUAUUCUGUAGCAAGGUUAACCGUAUAGGGGAGCCGCAGGGAAACCGAGUCUUAACUGGGCGUUAAGUUGCAGGGUAUAGACCCGAAACCCGGUGAUCUAGCCAUGGGCAGGUUGAAGGUUGGGUAACACUAACUGGAGGACCGAACCGACUAAUGUUGAAAAAUUAGCGGAUGACUUGUGGCUGGGGGUGAAAGGCCAAUCAAACCGGGAGAUAGCUGGUUCUCCCCGAAAGCUAUUUAGGUAGCGCCUCGUGAACUCAUCUUCGGGGGUAGAGCACUGUUUCGGCUAGGGGGUCAUCCCGACUUACCAACCCGAUGCAAACUACGAAUACCGAAGAAUGUUAUCACGGGAGACACACGGCGGGUGCUAACGUCCGUCGUGAAGAGGGAAACAACCCAGACCGCCAGCUAAGGUCCCAAAGUCAUGGUUAAGUGGGAAACGAUGUGGGAAGGCACAGACAGCCAGGAUGUUGGCUUAGAAGCAGCCAUCAUUUAAAGAAAGCGUAAUAGCUCACUGGUCGAGUCGGCCUGCGCGGAAGAUGUAACGGGGCUAAACCAUGCACCGAAGCUGCGGCAGCGACACUAUGUGUUGUUGGGUAGGGGAGCGUUCUGUAAGCCUGCGAAGGUGACCUGUGAGGCAUGCUGGAGGUAUCAGAAGUGCGAAUGCUGACAUAAGUAACGAUAAAGCGGGUGAAAAGCCCGCUCGCCGGAAGACCAAGGGUUCCUGUCCAACGUUAAUCGGGGCAGGGUGAGUCGACCCCUAAGGCGAGGCCGAAAGGCGUAGUCGAUGGGAAACAGGUUAAUAUUCCUGUACUUGGUGUUACUGCGAAGGGGGGACGGAGAAGGCUAUGUUAGCCGGGCGACGGUUGUCCCGGUUUAAGCAUGUAGGCUGAUUGUCCAGGCAAAUCCGGAUAAUCAAGGCUGAGGUGUGAUGACGAGGCACUACGGUGCUGAAGUAACAAAUGCCCUGCUUCCAGGAAAAGCCUCUAAGCAUCAGGUAACAUCAAAUCGUACCCCAAACCGACACAGGUGGUCAGGUAGAGAAUACCAAGGCGCUUGAGAGAACUCGGGUGAAGGAACUAGGCAAAAUGGUGCCGUAACUUCGGGAGAAGGCACGCUGGUGUGUAGGUGAAGCCCCUGCGGGUGGAGCUGAGACCAGUCGAAGAUACCAGCUGGCUGCAACUGUUUAUUAAAAACACAGCACUGUGCAAACACGAAAGUGGACGUAUACGGUGUGACGCCUGCCCGGUGCCGGAAGGUUAAUUGAUGGGGUUAUCCGUAAGGAGAAGCUCUUGAUCGAAGCCCCGGUAAACGGCGGCCGUAACUAUAACGGUCCUAAGGUAGCGAAAUUCCUUGUCGGGUAAGUUCCGACCUGCACGAAUGGCGUAAUGAUGGCCAGGCUGUCUCCACCCGAGACUCAGUGAAAUUGAACUCGCUGUGAAGAUGCAGUGUACCCGCGGCAAGACGGAAAGACCCCGUGAACCUUUACUAUAGCUUGACACUGAACAUUGAGCCUUGAUGUGUAGGAUAGGUGGGAGGCUUUGAAGCGUGGACGCCAGUCUGCGUGGAGCCAACCUUGAAAUACCACCCUUUAAUGUUUGAUGUUCUAACGUUGGCCCCUGACCGGGGUUGCGGACAGUGUCUGGUGGGUAGUUUGACUGGGGCGGUCUCCUCCCAAAGCGUAACGGAGGAGCACGAAGGUUAGCUAAUCCUGGUCGGACAUCAGGAGGUUAGUGCAAUGGCAUAAGCUAGCUUGACUGCGAGCGUGACGGCGCGAGCAGGUGCGAAAGCAGGUCAUAGUGAUCCGGUGGUUCUGAAUGGAAGGGCCAUCGCUCAACGGAUAAAAGGUACUCCGGGGAUAACAGGCUGAUACCGCCCAAGAGUUCAUAUCGACGGCGGUGUUUGGCACCUCGAUGUCGGCUCAUCACAUCCUGGGGCUGAAGUAGGUCCCAAGGGUAUGGCUGUUCGCCAUUUAAAGUGGUACGCGAGCUGGGUUUAGAACGUCGUGAGACAGUUCGGUCCCUAUCUGCCGUGGGCGCUGGAGAAUUGAGGGGGGCUGCUCCUAGUACGAGAGGACCGGAGUGGACGCAUCACUGGUGUUCGGGUUGUCAUGCCAAUGGCACUGCCCGGUAGCUAAAUGCGGAAGAGAUAAGUGCUGAAAGCAUCUAAGCACGAAACUUGCCCCGAGAUGAGUUCUCCCUGAGACUUUAAGUCUCCUGAAGGAACGUUGAAGACGACGACGUUGAUAGGCCGGGUGUGUAAGCGCAGCGAUGCGUUGAGCUAACCGGUACUAAUGAACCGUGAGGCUUAACCUU